rnacentral:tRNA from 1 species
UCCCUGUUGGCUCAGAGGAGAAAGCAUCUGCCUGCCAUGCAGGACACCCGGGUUCAAUCCCUGGGUUGGGAA